GCAGCAUUCAUGUCCC
rnacentral:miRNA from 1 species